rnacentral:rRNA from 1 species
CGCGAAAACUUUACAAUGCUGGCARCAGCGAUAAGGGAACCUCGAGUGCCAGGUUACAAAUCUGACUGUCGAGAUGCCUAAAAAGCAUUUCAUAGCAAGGGCCGGGCAAGACCGGUGCCAGCCGCCGCGGUAACACCGGCGGCUCGAGUGGUAACCGUUAUUAUUGGGUCUAAAGGGUCUGUAGCCGGCCGGAUAAGUCUCUUGGGAAAUCUGGCAGCUCAACUGUCAGGCUUUCAGGAGAUACUGUCUGGCUCGAGGCCGGGAGAGGUGAGAGGUACUUCAGGGGUAGGGGUGAAAUCUUGUAAUCCUUGAAGGACCACCAGUGGCGAAGGCGUCUCACCAGAACGGACCUGACGGCAAGGGACGAAAGCUAGGGGCACGAACCGGAUUAGAUACCCGGGUAGUCCUAGCCGUAAACGAUACUCGCUAGGUGUCGGCCACGGUGCGACCGUGGUCGGUGCCGUAGGGAAGCCGUGAAGCGAGCCACCUGGGAAGUACGGCCGCAAGGCUGAAACUUAAAGGAAUUGGCGGGGGAGCACCACAACGGGUGGAGCUUGCGGUUUAAUUGGAGUCAACGCCGG